CCUACGGGUGGCUGCAGUGGGGAAUAUUGGACAAUGGGGGGAACCCUGAUCCAGCCAUGCCGCGUGUGUGAAGAAGGCCCUCGGGGUGUAAAGCACUUUCAGUGAGGAAGAACGCCUGGUGGUUAAUACCCAUCAGGAAAGACAUCACUCACAGAAGAAGCACCGGCUAACUCCGUGCCAGCAGCCGCGGUAAUACGGAGGGUGCGAGCGUUAAUCGGAAUUACUGGGCGUAAAGCGCGCGUAGGUGGCUUGAUAAGCCGGUUGUGAAAGCCCCGGGCUCAACCUGGGAACGGCAUCCGGAACUGUCAAGCUAGAGUGCAGGAGAGGAAGGUAGAAUUCCCGGUGUAGCGGUGAAAUGCGUAGAGAUCGGGAGGAAUACCAGUGGCGAAGGCGGCCUUCUGGACUGACACUGACACUGAGGUGCGAAAGCGUGGGUAGCAAACAGGAUUAGAUACCCUAGUAGUC
rnacentral:rRNA from 1 species